AGCAGUGCUCCGCUAGGGGUCGCUGGGAUGAAAAAAUGCACAGAUUGUAAGAAAUCUGAUCGCAAAGUAGAGUCAUAGAAGGCUGAAGAACAGGGGGUGCACGAAAGUAUUGCCAUGAUGUCAUAAUCCUACGCACAGGUAGACUCGGGACUUAUCAAUAUUAAUUAGAUACUAACAAUAACAUAGCAACAGGAAGCGGAACACGAGAGUUCAGCAUCGUCCCCCAACACAGUUUAGCGACACCUCCCGCCAAAUAUGGAGAGCAGAGCUGUUGUGUAUUACAGUGAAUCUAAUUGCUUUUGAGCGACUAACAGAGAGGAACAAUUUCAAGCAGUUCUUCUCUCGGCACAUUGUCUUUGCGAUGCCUUGAAGUGUGAAUCCAAAUAUGUCGCACGUCGCCGGCCUUGAAAGAAAACUACUAAUGUCUUCCCCUUCCGCAUUCACCCGACAUGUCCUCAAAUAACGAUUAAUUUCUAAUUUCAUUAUCCUAACAGGAGUUUUAUGCUUUUCUAAUGAAAUGCUUUACUCAGCAGUUGGUAACGAACAAUGUCAUUGCUAUGUUGUUUACGUAAUAAUUUUGACUACGGUUAUACUCUUUGGAAACGUUUUCAAGAACAUUUCCUAUACUUUGUUGGAUUUCUAUUUUUUUUCCUGGGCAAUUUCAGAAAACUCCACGAGAAUCUGUCUUCCAUUGUUUGCUGCACAACAGUCGAACUACAUUUCAUCUAUAGACAGAUCGUGUUAUCAAAACGACUAGAGGAAAAAGAGGUUUUCAUUCUGAAACUACGUUCAUGGAACAGAUGUCGUGUAUACGGAAUUGGCAAUUUAGCAGUAUCUUCAUUGGACUUUUUUAAAUUGAAAACGUGAUUGUAGUCGGUUAGGAAUCUUCUUGAAGUCAUGCAGAGUUAUGAUGUAAAAUUGCACUGCAAAAGCUGAAAGAAUCCGGAAACUAAAGUGUUACAGGCAGUCAGAAUGGCAGAUGGACCUCAAUUUUACCUGAAGUUUAAAAAAUGUCAGGCAUUGUAUUUGUGUAAUCAAUGACUUUUGUGCUCCUAAUUGCUUGUCGUCAGCUUUUGGAAAAUGAUAACUCAAGCUUGAUUCAAAGGAUAUUUUGUGGAAUGUAUACAUGUGGCUUUAAUGAAUAGCAAGUUAAAUAUUUUCCGGAAUGUUUGAUAUCUUAUAAACAUCGCCACUGAUCAACAUAUGCACAUUUCCAUUAUGGAGGACGGUGUAUUGCGAAUUUUUUCAUCUAAAAAACCUAACCAAUAAAGUAUUUAUUCAUUA